UGGACGACGUGGGGGCGGGACUUCCGGAGCUGUCUUCCUGGGAUCUCGGCGGUUCUGGGGUCAGUCCUGAUCCGCCGGCGCGGAGAGCUGGGUGGGUUCCGGGCUGGGGCUCCCGGGGGCAGGGCCGCGCGCUCUCUGAGGAGGUGGCCACGUGCUUAUCCUGGAGGAGUGGCUCGUGGAUAAGGCUCGGGCCCUGCUGUGUGGGGACUGACGCGGGCGCACUUCGCACUUGCGGCCCCGGGGUGGUGGACAUGCAGCGGAGGGCGAGGCACCUUCCGAGCAGGGCGUUUUCGUAAGAGUCUCAGGGUAGGGCGCCGGUGCAGCCAGAGGCCCGUUCCGUGGCAUGUGUGGCUCAGGCUCGAAGACGUUUGCUCCUGGCUGAGAACAGGGAGCCACUGCGGGCAGAAACUACAGUAGAGAGGGGUGUGGGAGAGGCUUCGGCUUCAGCUUUCCCCAGCUCCGAAGCAGCACAGCCGAGAGAAACCCUGCAGAAGUGGGCGGGGCAGGGCCUUGUGAAGCGCCAUGGAGUCCACGUAGGAGUUGGGGUUGAUUUAUUGACAAGUACAGCCACGCCCUUAGUGUGCAGGGAGGACCGGUUCCUCGCCGGCCCGGGCCUCCUCCCGCACCGGGCCAUUCACAGUGGGCCGCAGGCGGAGAGACCUUUCACACGGGGAAGUACAGCAGAUGUGAAGGAGCCGCGGGCAGCCACACUGGAGGAAGGCCUGAGUGCAGUUAACGUGGGAAAUCUUUGCCACAACGCCGACCUCAUUCAGCACCAGAGAAUCAACCGUGGAGAAGAGCCUUACGGGUGUAGCCACCGUGGGAAGGAUGCAUUCAGCAAAGGACACACACUUGUUUGGCAUCAGAAGCUUCACAACACAAAGGCCUAGUGAGUUCAGUAAAUAUCAGACAACCUUUGGCCAUACCUGUGAGCUCAUUCAGCGUCAGAAAGUUUAUACUUCGAAUGCAUGGAAUGAAAACAUUUUGACAAAGCUCUGCCCUGAUUUGGCACUGGAAGGGUUGCAACCCAGAAAUAUGAGUACAGCAAACACGGGAAACCUGCCAAAACCUCCAACUGGUGUUUCACAAAAGCCCGUUAAGUAUGACCAGUGUGAGAAAGCCUUAAGCUUCAGGGCCAUCCUCGUUCAGCCCUAGCAGAUUCACACUCAAGAGGAAGACUUUCCACCAAAGAGGCUUCCUCAUUCGGCACCAGAAGGUUCACUGUAGAGAAAGGCCUAAGAGUGCAGCCAAAGUGAGAAAACCUCCAGUCAGAGGCCUCACCUCGUAAGGCAUCAGAGAAGGGCUUUAAGUGUGCGGGGAACGUGCAUUCUCCCUGUUCAGCAUAACAGAUGGUGUGCCAGAGACCAGCUCUGAGAGUAGCCUCUGUUGAGGAUGCUGUCGGCUGAAGUUGGACUUCAUACGCUCAGGCACCCACACGGGAUAAUUCCUAAUGAGUACUAGGUGUGUGAGGAGCUUUCGGGAGCCACAUGGCACUUUCUGACCUGCCCAGGGCCUUUGCCAGAAUUCUCUCUUUGCCAGUGCCAGUGGUAGAAGUCAUCUCACCAUUCUGCCAGCUGGGAGGGACUCGUAAACUGCUUAUUCCAGUCCCUGGUGGGACCACGGGCAGCCGGGGCCCAUUGAUGGGCCUUCGUCGCUUCCUGAUGAGUUAGGGUGUAGGUAUGACCCAGCUGUGGCUAGGAGGAUCGCUGGGGUCUUUCUGUGGCUUUCAGGGAUGGUUUACCUUUUUUUAAGGGACGUUGUUGGCCUCGUGUGACUCUUGAUGGAUUUGUCCAGCUUCCAAGUCAAACUUCCAAGGGGACUGCCUGCUGUGCUCCUCUGGAGCCCCAUCGUCUCCCUUGAAAUCAGAGAGCCCAUCCCAGGGGUGGCACCUCCACCAUCAUACCUGCCUGCCAAGGACAGCAGUCCUGAGGCUGUUCCUGGACGUGAAUGCUCCUCUGACUAAUGUGUUCUCAGUUCCCAAGUGAAAGGAAUGUCUUCCAGGACUUAGUGAAGUGUGUGGACGGGAGGUGUGUAAGCUCUUCUUCCUGAAGUGUAGUGCCACUCCUGUCCUUCUGGAGCAUGCUGUGAUUCGACCUUAGUCAUGUGGUUGUGGUGGGUCUUGAGAGAGGGUAUCCCCUUUCAAGGCAUCUUCCCUUGGCGAAGUUGUCACAGGAUUUUCAAGCAAAGAGAGAAUAAUUUUCCAAGACACUGUGGCCAAGAUGCUUCUACUGGUGAGAGAGGCUUAGAAUGACUUCGCACUUCAAGAUGAUCGGUUUCCCUGGGUCUAACCAAAUGUCCUCGCUCCAGGUUUCAUGCUCCCACCUUUCCCAGCCAAUGCCUGACUUUCCCCUGAGAUACUGGUGAGACUGUGAACUCCACGUUGUUGUUCACCAGCAAUACAAUUAACUUUUCUGUAUGAUUUUUAGGAACAUGACUCCUGUGACUGCAAGAAAAGAGCUUCAUUUAGGGCUGUCAUUGAAGUAUUCUGGUUCUCACUUGUCCUGAGUUGAGUCACCACGACUUGUCAUUUUCUCUCUGUAUGCACUCUAGUGCACUCAAGAGACUAUCCCAUACUGUGUCCCUGUAGUCAUCCUUACCACCAUAAAAAAAAAAAGUUCAGUAGCCACUGAGGCUCGAGGUCACUGGCUUCAGACAGUACUUCAUCGCAAGCAACCGAAGGCGACUGUGUGAUUAGUUCUGAUGCCGGUGUGCCCGCAGGCCACGGGUACUGAGCAUUUCCCGCUGGCCGUGAGCACAGCACUUGUUAAGCUUGAGAUUCCAACAGAUCAGUUCCCAAAUGCCAUCUUUGCAAGUCUGUCUCCUGUGGGCACUCCUGGUACCAGUUCUGUAUCAGCCAGGGUCCAGUCCAACAGGCAGUAACCACACAAUAAUUUGAGCAAGGAAGAUUUGAUGUAAAGAAUUAUUAACUACUUCCAGGGAGAAAGAAGAGGAUUCUAAGGGAUACCCUGAGGGGGAGUACCCAAGGAAGAAUAAACAAGGAAGGGAGGAGGCCUCCUUAAGGCUGGACUGAGACCUGGUUGGAGAUGCUGCUGUUUUAGCUCGACAGACAGACAGCGGAGAAGUUUUCCAGGUUGAUCUGGACCAGAGAUGGUCCAUGUUUGUUCUUCCAAGACUGAUGGGCAAGAACGCUGAGCUGGCGGAAGGUGGGACCCCCAUCCCCGGAACCCGCACCCCUGGCAGUGGGAUGCCUAUGGAAGUGGGAUGGCUACAUAAUUCACCUGGGAGCUGCCCGGGGUGAAGGGAGGUGCUAUCAACUUUGCUUAGAAGCCCACUCGGGUGUGGCUGGGCUUGCUGGUGAGCUGCUGAGAACCCCUCGAUGGGGGUGCCCUUGAACUCCCUGGAGGCUGGCUGGGGUACCUGCAGAACUUGCGGGAAGCUGCUCACAGGGGUGCCAUGGACCGCUCCACCAGGAAGUCAUCUCAGGUGCCCUGAAGCUCACUGGGCUCCACUGGCUGCGCAGCACUCCAGUCAAACACUGUGGGAACCAGAGGAAGGCAGGCGCCCAGGACCAGGGAGAGAGGCUUCCUCCUCCAGCAUCCCUCCAGCUCCUCCACCAGCAGAGCCUGGCGCCACGCUGGCUGGCCGGGAAGAACCCGUCUGGCUUCCGAAGCAGGACAGUGAAAAGCGGAGUCAGGGCUGAGAGGCGACACGUUCACAACUGGCACAGCUAAACUCCUUUUAUGAAGUUAAAACAACCUUGAUGACAAAACCCAACAAAGAUGGUGGGAGAAAAGAAAUAGUUCUGGCCUGCCUCACAUAUGCAUGGAUGUGGAAUCCUAAAGAAAAGUCAGAAAACUGGAUUUAGCGACUUACAAACUCUAAAGCGGUAAGACCAGCUUGGGCUUGUACCGGCAGGCUCUCCACCGGAACUUGUUGUUUUCUUUCUUGAUGUGGGGCUGUCACCAAGCUGUGACCAGGUGACCCUCUCGUCAAUGAAAUGCAGCCUCCAGGUGAAAACUUCUAAGGAGAGAGCUCGCAGGCCUCCUCCUGUUCGCUUUCCCCCCUGCUUUCUGUGCAGGCGACCUGCCCCUUAGGGAACGCGGAGUUACCGGGUAGACGGCCGUGUCGGGAGAAGAGCUGCUUGCCAGUCAGACUUCCAUCCUGGGCUGCUAAACAGGCGAUAAACGUUUUGAGCUGGUGCACACUUUGGGAUUCGUGUGUGUGUUUUAGUCUUCUCUAACUAUUUGCGUUAUAAGAUAAAUUUUAUAGUUAAUCGUAUUUAGGGAUUAAGGGAUAAAAUUAUAUGAUCAUAUUAACAGAUGCAGAAAAAAACUGUUUAAUUAAAAAUCCCUGCCAACGAGGAGUGGAAGGGAAUGUCUUGAUUCUGAUACAGGUUAUUUCUAAAAAACCCACAGCAGGCAUUAUAACUAUUGGUGAAAAAUUUAAUGCUUUGCUUUUGAGUUGGGUCCACUAAGGUAAUUAACAAUAAAAAAAAUCAUAUGAUAUAAGGAUUAGAAAGGUGGGAACAACUUGUUAUUUGACAAUAGAAAUGUAGAAAAUCUAGAAGUACUUACAGAUACGUUUUUAGAUGAAUAAAUUUAUAAAGUUGUUGAAUACAUGGUCAGCUAUAAUACCAAUUGCAUUCUGUGGGCCAAAACCAGAAAAUUAGAAUAUUCCAAGUGUUCCUUGGAACAUCCCUGCUGUUUCAGAAGGAGCGUGAGCCAAGCUGUGGUGAGAGGUGGGGUGAGGCGGCUGAGCACUGAGGGGCCCGGGGCCUGGGAGCUCAAGCCUCCCGGUGUGUAAAGCCCAAAUGGAGCUCCAGGCGUGUGGGAUAGAACCGCACCUGGCGUGCGAGUGACGGCCUGGGUGGGCAGCUGGAGGACAGACCUUGGAAAGCCUGGGGGUGACACUGCUGACUUCGGCUGGCUCCCCCCCCGCUACCCAUGGCUGUGGAAAUACAGGGAAGACCGCAGCCCCGUGCCCGGCACACGACAGGGGCUCAGAGAGCGUCGUGGAGGAAGGAAAGAACCUGCUACACAGGACGUGGGUGGGAGCCCCUCCGUCCCUCGCAUCACCUCCUGCCCUCCCUCGCCUCUGCCCUCCCCAUGUCCACCUCCGGGCGCUCCUGCACCAGCGGGACGGUGGCCCGGCUCAUGUCCUGCCUCCAGUCUGCUCUGCUUCGUCCUCCCCCUCGGCUGGCUGGAAGGAGCUUCCCUGAAUGUGGCUCCACCUCCCACCUGCCGUGUACACUUCGUCAUCUCCAGCUCUUGGCGGCCCCGCGGCCUGUUCCCCUCCCCCGUGUGCUGGAAACCCUCAGGGCUGCCCCAUCCCCUUUCAGAUGCCACUUCUGCUGGGAAGCCUUCCCUUCCCUCCCAGCCAAGUGGUACCCCCACCCCGUGCUCCGCAAGGCCUAUGCUCCCGCCCCCAAACGUUUGUUGUAAGGGUCUGAGUACAGGUUUGUGGUCUGCAUGUCCCGGGGGUUGGAAUGCCUGCUCUGAAUGCGGGUAGACCAGGGUGGGGGUGAGUGUGCUCCCAACCCCCAGCUGCUCUCUGCCUCGCAGUGGCUCUAAAGCUUUCCAUUUCUUCUGUCGGGCCCCUAGGAGCAGGUAAUUUUUACCCUUAUGAAUGAAAGCUUAAAACAGCCCCCAGACUUCCUAAUCUAUGGAAAUGAGGCAUUUCUGAGCAAGGAUGUUAUUUACUGUUCAAGAUGUGACCCUGUGAGCUGCUGGGCCCCUUGGCGGGUUCUUGCCGAGAGGGACGAGGUUCCAGGGUAGGUGUGGUUUGCUCGGGGGUGGGGGGGUGGGGUGGGGGGUGGGGCCUCUGUGCUGUAGACGCUGACAGUCAAGCCCCACGGGGCUGCCCGACAGCACAGGACGCCCCGUGGAACGUGAACUUAAGAUAAACAAUGAAUGAUUUUUAGUAUAACAAUGUCCCAUGUAAUGUUUAAAUUUACCUGGGCACCCUGUAGUUUUAGUUGUUAAAUCUGGAUUUGUUAAUUCUAUUUGGAAUAAACUUGGGGAUAAAAUUA